rnacentral:lncRNA from 1 species
GGGGGGGGGUUCCUGGUCACUGAGAAUGCAUUUGUUUCCCUCUUCAGGGCAUGGCAAGGUUUCCUCCCAGCCAGUCCACCUUGUCAGGUCCCUUCCUCCGCCACUUUCCUGCCGGUCGCCGUCCUCAGCCCAUGUCCUCCAAUCCCUUCUCUCCAGAACGGCUGUGUCUUGUCCCCGUCUCUCCUGUCCCCUUUUAUUCUGCCCUCUUCUCUCCUGCCCGUUUCUGUCCUACCUGUAUGAAUCCUCUCCCCAUUCUCUCCUACCCGCAUGCAUCCUCUCCCUAUUUCUCCUGUCCCCUUCUCCCCUGCCCCCUUUUCUCAUGCUCCCCUUCUCUCAUUCUCCUCUACGUCUUCUCCCCAUGUCUCCUGCCCCUUUCUCCAGGCAGUGAUGGAGAACUGUUGCGAGUUCCCCUACGAGCCCUCGCCUCCCCCAUGCCUCUUCCAGUCUCGCUUCUCCCUCCAGCUCAGCCAGCCAUGGCCCAUCACCCUCCCGCCUCUCCAGACCACAGCCUCCCGCAUCUCCUGGAAGGCCCCCCAUCCGGAGAGGGACACCACAUCUGGGAAGAGAAAAGCCAAAGUGAAGUGGUUGGCUCCAUCAUCCUUCUCCUUUAACUGCUCAAAAUGGGCACCCUCGGCUCCUACAGCAGCUGUUCCAGCCUCCGGGGAGGAGCCGAUGGACUGCACGCUGGACAAAAUCAGACUCAUCUAGAUGCAGGUCAGGAAGCAGCCCCAAGAAGAAGACGAGUCAAGAGAGCCGGCGAUGUCAAGAUCACUUCCUUUUCUGGGGCCCCCAUUCCCCCUCUUUCUUUUCCUUCUCUAUAUAUAUCAAUGGAGCUGUGCCAGUCUCCGGGGAGGAGCCGAUGGAUUGCACGCCGGCGCCGUAGAAAAUCAAGAGGUGUGCAGAUACAGGUCAGGAAGGUGAGGGCUACUCCCCAUUGGGGCAGGGGGGCAGAGGGAGCUGUGCCCUCCACCUCCACCCCCUUCCAGGGGAGAAAGUGGGGCAGGGUGGGUGGGUUGGUGUGGGAGAGCGAGGCUGCCAGACCAGCCCACCGGGGGGAAGCUGGGUCUCCCCAAAGAGAGCAGAGCAGGGACCCCAGUGGGGGCUCAGCCCCUUCCCCAGGACCCUCACGGCCUCCCCUUUUCUCUUCCAGAAGCCCCAAGAAGAAGAAGAAGCAAGCGACCUGACCCGGAGAUUUCAAGAUGACUUCUUUUCCUUUUCUGGGCCCCCCGUUUUCCCCCCUUCUUUUCCAUAUUAAUGUUGAUAUGUUUAAAAAUCAAAUUAGAUUUUUUAUCUCUAUUUAAGCCCAAUAGCCUGGUGCCUUUUUUUCCAAGGGAGGUGGGUGGGUGAGGAAGUCGGGUGGCGGGCGAGAGGGAGCCCACAGUCCCCCAGCGGGGGCCCUGGGCAGGCGGGCAUGGGGCAGGCAUGGGGUGUCUGGCUCUUGUCCCCUUCGCUUCCCCACCCCACCCAUGAGGAUGGGGAGAAAAGAGUUCCCCUCCCAAGUGAGUUCGAGAGUGAAGGGAGAGGUGAUGGUCACCACCUGUCUCUUCUAGGGGAACAUUCUGGGCCUGUCUUACAAGUGAGCAAGCGUGUGUUUCUGUGUGUGUGAUGGAGGUUCCAGAAAGACCAGGCUGCCCCCCCCCAGACCUGAAAACGGUCUUGGUCCGAGAGGCAGCGAAAGGACUGGCCCUUCUCUUGACCUUUGUACACCAAGGGAUGAAUCAGGUCCCUCCUCCUUUGCUCCUGGACAGCAUCGUCUUAAAGGUGCUUGGCGAAGACAGGAGCCCCCCCUCCUUCUCUCCUGCCCUUCCGAAUCCUCUCCCCAUAUUUCCUGUCCCCUUUCCUCCUGCCCUUCCGAAUCAUCUCCCCGUGUCUCCUGCCCCCUUUACUCCUGCCCCUAACAAGUCCUCCUCGGGUGUCUUCCACCCUAAUCCGUCCUGGCCCCAACCCUCCUGCCUCCCUGCCCCGGAAGCGGAAGCAUGAGGAAGACAAGACCCCUCCUUCCAUCGCCCCCCAGAAGAUCCAGCCCAGGUGAGGGCAGUCGGUCGGUCUCAAGGGAGGACUGUGGCCGAGGUGGAGGGGUAGCAGACCAGGGACACCCCCCCCAGCAUCUUUUUCUGGCACUUGGUCAGCCGCUCUCUAUGGAGGGAGAGGGUGGCCGUGUCCUGCCAAGGUCAGCCCCCCGUG